UGUGAGAACAGAUGCCAGAAAGUUGUGCCCAGAGCAAGGACGGGUGAGGAUGAAUGUCGAAGAAAGAGCCUCUGGAGAAAGCGGCCCUACAGACAACUUGACCUUGGACUUCCGGCCUCCAGAACACUGAGAGAAUUAUUUUCUGGUGUGUGAGCCACCCAGUCUGCAGUAUUUCAUUGUAGCAUUCCUGACAGACAGAACGUUCUUAACCUUGAAAACUGACAUGUUCAACUUGCUUCAGAGUCCUUAAGAACUCCACUGUGUGUCUUCUACAAGGUAGCUCUUGGUCUCUACAUCUGUACUGGUCACCUUGACAUAAAUCUAGACAUAUCUGGAACAAGAGAUCUCAGUUCCAGCCUUCAUGUCUCCUGCUUGAGUUCCUGCCUUGACUUCCCUCAAUGAUGGAGUAUGGCAUAGAAAUGUAAGAUGAGAUAAACUGUUUCCUCUCAGGGUU